UGUGGGACAAGCUCUAACAAUCCUUGUGAAACUAUUCUUGAGCUAAGUAUUAUACUAAAUAAAAAAUCUACUACUCCAUUAGUAUUGUAUGGUGGACAAGUCUGAUUCUCUCUCGCAAAGUCUCUGUUCUUGCUUCUUAAUGAAUUAAUUCCCUUGCCAUUAGAAAUUGUAUGGCAUGGUCGAAGAUUGGAUAUCCUACCGUAUAAAAAGAACCACUCAGUGACUUGUCACUUUUCCAAUUUGGCCAAUUUUACUCCCUGUUUGGGGACAUGCAGUGCUGUCCGAUUGGGCAUAAUCGUAAUUUUGCCAUGAGGGGCAGUUUCAUCUGUUUCACUUCACUGCCUUUUUAACCACAAACGGCAACGUAGCGAAAAAAAUUCACUUAUGUCUCUUCACUUUUCUCUCUCUAUCUCACACACACACACAACACACAUGCACCUACAUAGAGGUAGAGGCAGAUCAACACGUUUAGAGAGAUGGAAAGAGGGAGAGGAAGAGAUGCGAGACCUGAGGCAGAUUUGAUGAGGUGAAGAGGGAGAGGAAGAUAUGCGGGAUUUGUGGCAGAUCUGACAGGGCAUGGAACUGGCUUUUAGAUUUUUGGUAGAACCCUAACUGGGAAUACGGAAUUCUAUUGGCUUCUGGACAAGUUAGCAACAUUUGAAUGUACAAGUUUCCAGAAGAGGGCAUCAAGCUUGCGUGUGUUGAACUCGGUGUCCUAUUGCAUAAUGAUUUUUUGCUCAAGGUGAAACCUCUUAGCUGCAUAUUUGACAUUAAAACUACAUUGUGAUGUCAUGGAUUAGAAGAGCUGCAUGUGUUAUUUUUGUACUUUAUAAGGUUUGUUGUGAUCAUACUUGAUUUCUUUGGCUAUGGACUAAAAAUUUUUCACACUAAUUCUUUAUGUGACCUAUUUUAUUGGAACCAUUGAGAGAAGAAUUGAAAGGAACUUUAUUCAGGGAAACAAGAUUGAAGUUGGAGAGUGAAAGAACGCUUGAUAUGUCCGACCAAUUUUGAAUGACCAUGCAGAGAUUUUUACUUCAUAAUUAACAAAAGAUAGGGCUUAAUGUUAUCUCCCUUACUUCCUCAAGAUUGGUUUGUCACGUUUAAUUGGAGUCGGUCCUCCAAUGUCACAUCAGGUAUUCAGAGAAAUCAAAUGAGAGAUUAGGUUUUUAAUAUUUUUUGUUUGGUUUGGGUUUGCUUCUUCACCUACUAUUGGCAUCUUUCUUAGUAGCAUGGGGGUGGGGGGGUGUUGUGCACCUAAAAGCUUCUAAGGUUGGGAGCGCCUAAGGAGUGUAUUUAAAUUAUAUAAAACUAUGUAUAUAAAAUAUCUUUAAAUACUUAACCAUUAGAGGAAAGUGAUACUGAAAAUUUAUCUGAUCUUAAAGUGUAAUUAAUGGAAGUUGUAUAUUCUCAAUUUACAAAACUUCUUGACUAAUGUGAUUCUUUUAUGCUUAUUUUCACAAUGGCAUAACUCCCUUGAAAGUAAGAUAGUAACUGCCUUACUGGCCCGAUAAGCUCUCAUCUUAGUUAGGAGCGAGCUCCCGUCUUGGAGCGUCGAUUCAAGCUCUUGUCUUGGGAGCGCACCCAUUUUAGAAGGAUCCUACUACUAAGGUAUGUUUUAUAUUUUGAUGAGGUUGUUCCUAAAUUUUAUUCAAAUGCCGAUUAUUACUUUUAAAAACAUGAACAGUUUAUCAUUUAAUACUACUAUUAUCUCGACUCUUGAACUUGUUUAGAAUUUUGUUCUAGAUCUUUCCCUUUACCACUUCAACACUGGGGAGUAUUUUCCUGUUGAGAUCAAGUUAAAGUGUGGACAUACGGCGUUCAAGGCUAUGGCCACCAUUAAACUUUUAAGCGUUCGUCCUCUUUUUGUAUUUUAGUGUUUCUUUGGAUAACAAAUGGGCACCAUCAAAGUUUUAAGUGUUCAUCUUGUUUGAUUACGUUCUUUGUAUAAUGUAGAUUACUUGAGGCGAUGCAUUUGGAUGGGGGACAAAACUGGAACUCUCGAAUCACCAAGACUACAUGAAACCCGUAUAGAAAAAUGGGUUAUUUUCCUAGACACCCCUCCAAGCAUACCUGUUUUUCAUGGUCACCCCCUCUACAAAUUUUGCCCACGACGAUAGCCCCUCAUUAAAGUAUACUUUUUUCCUAAAUCCCUUCUGUCAGCCUUCCGUCAAGAACCGUUAAUUUUCUCUAAAAUAACCACCCCCCCCCUAAAGAGUGACCUGAUUUCUCCUCCUCAUCUCUGAGACUUUGGGCUUACCUCAAUGCUCACCAUAACUGACCUUUUUGUGAUAUUUGUGGUUUUACUUCUGCUGCUCUCAAACAACAGAACUACUUGCAUCUGGGGUGAACUCAACGUUUGCCAUGAUAAGUGGUUUUAAAACACCACAAACGAAUCUGGGAUCUAGAUUGUUUUUCAAUAUCCCGAUUCAACCUACCCAAAUCAAAAUCUUGGUAAAACCCCACAAACGAAUCUGGGAUCUAGAUUGUUUUUCAAUAUCCCCAUUCAACCUACCCAAAUCAAAAAUCUUGGUAAGUAGUGCUCAUGAAAGCCCUUUGGAAAUUACCAGAGAUGGUUAUGCUGAAUUAGAUGGAAAUUGUGUGUGGGAUUUGUAACCUGUUUGCAGACUGUAAUCUAUGCUAAGAUAUCCGUUUUGGGGAUGUUCUUGAUCUUUCUCAUCUAACGUUCUCUAUAGUUUGUUUGUUGUCAAUAAGAAGUUAUGAGAGAGAGAUACUGUGGAGUUUGUUGUUGGCGGUGGUCGGGAAGAGGCAAGCCAAAAGAGGUGGAGGUGGGUGGUGUUGAUGAUGCUGUUAGGAAAAUGUCAAUUUUCUCCUCAAUUUGUUGGCCAUUUUUUAGACCCCAUUUGGGAGAGAAGACGAGAAGAGAGAUGAUAAAUUUGGGUUUUGUUGAGAGAGAGAGAGAUGGGAAUCGGGAGAGAGAAGGUGACGGUGAGUUUGGUGGCGGCGGUAGCGGUGGUGGUCGGGGAUACCAAAGCCAGAUGAGUAGAGGUGGGGGGUGAAUGGGCCCCACGCUGGGGUUUUCAACUUUUGUUGUGUUUUUGUUCCCUUUUUUUUUUUUUGCUGACAAACAGAGAGAGAAGUGUGGCUCUAGGUAUAUAUAUGCAAGGGUAAAAUGGUCUUUUCAUUUAUUUCAUCCAACGGAAUUUAGUCCUCCAAAUGCAAACUUUAAUGAGGGGGGGUCUCACCGUAGGCGAAAUUCGUGGAGGGAGAGACCGUGAAAAACGGGUAUACUUGGAGGGGUGACUGUGAAAAACGGGUAUAAUUUGGACAUGAGGGGCAGUUUCAUCUGUUCACUUCAGGCCCUUUUGGCACAUGUGGACCACAAACGGCCACGUGAAAAAACUUCUCUCUCUCUCUCUCUCUCACACACACUCACACACUCACCUACGCAGAGGAAGAGGCAGAUCAACACGUUUAGAGAGACAGAAAGAGGGAGAGGAGGAUAUGCGAGACUUGAGGCAGAUUCGACAAGGUGAAGAGGGAGGGGAAGAGGUGCAAGACUACGGCAGAUCCGUCGGGACAUGGAAUUGGGUUUCAGAUUUUCGUCAUGGUAACACGGUAAGACGAAUUGACUCCAAGCAAACCCUCUUUGCCACCCAACUCUUUUUUCAACUAAUCGGAACGGUCACAGAAGGGAAAAGAAAAGUUUAGUUCCUACCGAUUUCUCUAUGACUCUACAACUAUGCUCGAAUGGGUAAUCCCUAAAAAAAUAAACGCCCCUUUGGUUGUGUGUUUCUCUGAUCUGUUUGCAUUGAUCUCGGAUGUGUUUUAUGUAUGCAUGUAUGUUUGCACAUGUGUUGCCAUUCAAAAAGUGUUUGCCCAAAAAAAGUGUUUCCAACCGAUUUCUCUGUGAUUCUGGUAAUGAAAUUAGCUUUCGUUUUUCUUUGUUUUUCGGAUUUUGGUUUUGGCUAAAAUGAAAAAAAUCAUGUUUCCUUUUGCUUGUUAUCGGUUUUUUUUUUUUUGGAUAAUGGGUUGUCUAGGCCAGCUUGUGCUCAAGAGGGUUAGCGGAUUACAAUACAUUAAGACCUCUGAGCUAUGGUGGGGCUGAUGUCUUUAUACUUGCAUUCUCUGUCAUUUGCAAGGCCAGUUUAUGAAGAUAUAUCUAUGAAGAUAUAUCAAAAAAGUGGAUUCUUGAAUUGAGGCAUUAUGCUCCUGGGGUCGCAGUGGUUCUUGUUGGAACAAAACUUGGUUAGACUCUCUUAACCAUCCUUUUUAUCAUUCUAGUAUGGUGCCUUAGUGGGGAUUUUUGCUCAUUUUUUGUGAAUACCUGCUUCUAUUCUUAGUUUUUUUCUUAUAUCAAAGCACUACUAGAUUUACAUGUAUACUUUUAUGUGAGAUUGGUAAUUAGGCUACCUACUCGAUGCAUGUAUGUGGCUAGAUGAAUCUAGAGUAAUGUCUUGGCUCAACUGUGAUCGCAAUACUAUAUGGACAACACAGUUAAAGAGCUUCUAAAGGUGAAGGCUUGUGGAUGGGUUCCUAAGGGUAUUCCUCAAGUUUUGUUUCUUUUUGAUUUGUGCAGAUUGUAGUUCUCACAAAAUCCAGUGAGCCUCUACGUCUACAUGUCAAUUAUAAUGUGUGAAAGUUUUGCUCAGAAUUUGUUUUUGGUAGCUCAUAAUUCAUGGAUUUUCUUGUUUUUACAUGUAGGUGCAAAAGAAGAUAUCACCACCCCAAUAAACAAGAAGCACCAAAAAAAGCUUACGAAUUUAGUAACCCAUUUACUAAAUACAAUAUUAGAGAAAGAAGCAAAAAUCUAGGAAAUGUGAAAGGUUAAGAAAAAUGAAAAUGAAAGGGAGAAGAAGCAAAAGGGUAUUUGAGUCAAAAAAACAAAAAACUUUUCGUUUCAUCCAAUAUGCCAAGUUGCCAACUAGUAUUACUAUUUCCUAUGUUAGUGAAGUUUGUUGAACUCAUUUAUUGAGCACUAACAUAUGCUUUAGGGGCAUACAUUAACAAAAUCCUAUUAGAUAAUCCCCA